AAAAUGGAAAUACUCCGAGCUAAAUUGUCUUAAUGAGAGGACUUAGCCUAUGGGUGCAAUUUGUGAAGAUUGCGCCUCCCGGUUUGGAAAGGAGAACUAUAACUGUCCAA
rnacentral:ncRNA from 2 species